GGCAUCUGAAUUAUCUCCAGAGGUUCUUCGUACUAUAGGAAUAAGUCAAGUAGAGGACCCACAGGAAUUUCAGUUCGAUCCCUAGAAGCUGAACAUCAGACGAAGCCAUUGAACCUUCCCUCACUCAUUGCUGGUUUUAAAGAAACAGAGAGGCUUCCAGUUCAAAGACUGCCCUCAGAGAAUGUGCAGCAGUUCUUCCACUUAAAAGAAAAAAACAACCCUCUGUUAGAUGUGCCAAACUUCCAAAGUAUUUAGCCUGAACAUUAUACUGUCUUUUAGCCGUCAUCAAACUAUAUCCACAGGACACCGUUUGGGGCUUCAAGUGACACAAUGAAUGUAUUUUGCCCUCUGACUGUUUUCAUCAAUCUGCACCAAUGAACGAACUCUUUGGACAAAUUUUGGUGGGAUUUGUUUUUUUCUCCUUUCGAAGAUGGUGGGAGCAGUUUUGCAGAUCCAGACAAAUUCAGAGAUUAAGCAGAAGUCUGGCGCUUUUGCCUCAUGUUUCCCCAACCGAAGUCCAAACAGCCUACGCCAAGCCAUAGCUGAGAAAGGGUCAAGAUGUAGAAAUCUCCCGAGGAAGGGAAGAUUUAGCUAUUUUCAUCCAUCCUCAGAAUUUAUUCUGUUCAUCAGUCGGAGCUCAGACAACCUCGAUAAGCUUAAAUCUGACUUGCUAUUUGGAUUUGGGGGCAGGUUUUUUCUUUGUUUGUGCCUAUUUGCUUAAUAAUAAUUUCUAAUGCCAUCACUGAAAACUAAUCUAAUUAGGAAAUGCUUCGGGCUUCCUCUAGUCUGGUAACAUUUAAGUUACCAGAAUGAAGUUACUUAUUCAGGUACCUUUCUUGUCUGUGAGAUUGAGAACAGAUGUGACUUCAGGUAUAUUUGUAUUCAGGUUUUAUUCCAAGGACAGCUGAUGUAACACUAGAUAUGGCUAAUGCAUAGAGAUAGCUAUAGAAAUGUAUUCUCUAUCUCAUCUGCUUCUGUGCUCCUACCCCCUUUAACAGUUUACUUGUACUAUUGUUAUUCAUGGUUAAAGGCAAGCAGGCUUUUCUUUAAUUUAACUGCUAGCUUCAUACAUUGCAUGAAACCAUUGUUUUAGCCAUGGGUUGUGGAACAGGCCAUGACCCAGUUCACAUAAGCCAAAACCAAAGAAAUCAUAUUGCGGCUUAGCAUGCUGUAUGAACACAGCUAACCACUGUCUUGAGUUCCAGAGCCUGUUGAAUGAUUUACUUGAGCUAUAGUUAGAACUACUGCUGCUGAUCUGUAGAUAAAAAGCAGAAAGGGGAAUGACUGUGAUUAGGGACUGCACAUUGCUAGCACGUGCCUCCAGUUAGCUGGGUUUUACACAGACUGUUAAGCUAUAAAAGAGUUUCAACUCAGAUUGCAAUAUGAAUCCAGCCACCAUGACUUAUUCAGUAAUCACAUUUUGGCUUGGUGGGAUGUGUGAAGCCAGUCGGUCUUAUUUUUGCAUCAGAUCUUAGAGAGAAGCACAUCUGCUAAGACAACUCGCUUCAUCACCUGGGGUCAGACAUGGCAUUCAUUGACUGGGUUCACAGAUCACCCAAAGUCAAAAUGUGGCUUGUUUGCUUUGGGGUCAGUGGGAUGUGUGAAUCUGUUGAUUAUGGAUUUGUCAACGAAACAUGAAAAAAAUGUGCUAAUUGAAAGCACUGCAUGCCUGUAAUGCACCUGAAAGCUAGCACUAUUGCAUUUCAUAUUUUAACUUAUGUGCAGUACAUGCCUCUGUACAGACUAUUUUCCCAGUAAGGACAAGCCUCCAUUCAUAGAAAGAACAUUUUUUUCAAUCCAAAAAGCAGGGAGCCAGCAGCCCAGAUGCAGAAUGGUAUGCCCUAUCAGGCAAGUAGUGAAUGUGACUUAGAAAAGUAACAGGCACUCUUGCACUCUUCAGAUGUUUAAACUCCAACUCCAGAGACCCCAGGAAAUGUGACUAAUGGUCAAGGCCUAAGGAAGCACCAGGCUGUCACUUGUGCACCAGAACUGUAUGUGGCCACCCUAAGGCACAGGAAGUAAAGUUCCCAGAAUUCAUGGGUAGAAGCAGGCUGGAACAUAGACUUUGCCGUGGAAUCACAUCCCAUCUAUAAUCUUGAUUGCCUAUGCUAUGUUGUGACCUGCUUCCCAGGUCACCAGCUUCCCUACUUCAGUUGGUCACAGUAUCAAAAAUACAUCAAGGGACUGGAAUUGCACUAUUGUAUAUUAAGGAUAUGAUUUUUCAAACAGCUAUAAGACCAGACACCACUGUAAAAUAAUUUCAAAGGAAAUGAGCCUUAGAGAAAAAUUAUCUAGAGACUGUAAAGUUCUACACAGGUAUCAUAAAAGUCAAAUUUACAGUCAGUCUAAGCAAUCAAGUCAUCUAAGCCAUGAUUUACAAAUGAUAAUGGCUGUCUUUACACAACACAUUAAGCCAACACCAAACUAACCAUUGGGUUCGUCUCUACAACAGGGUGGACCUUGCAACUAUUUUUUGCUUUGUAAAUUAAAUUUGAAGUUCUUUUCCCUCCCCCUUUUGUUGCUAUCAAGUUUGAAUUGUGUAGUGUUAAAAAUGUUUUCCAAAUAGUCAAAUGCUAUGUAACUGUGACUGAGACCAUUCUUUGCUCUAAGGAAUAAUUUCUUGGCUAUCGUUUGCUGGCUAAGACAUGGUGUUCUGGUUCACAUGUAAUGCUAAGUCAUAAUCUCUGGCUUUCAAACCACAGUGGCUGGAUCCACACCAUGCAUUAAGCCAAGCCACACCAAAGAAAUUACAUUCUAUCUAAAACACUGUGUAAAUUGACCAAUACCUUGACACAUUGGUUAAAGAAUAAACUGGGUUAGGAACUUUCUACUAGACUGCAUCUUGAGCAGCUGCACAUCUGUUUGGUACAGAGCAGGCCACGCUGCAAAAGUUUAUUGUGUGCAUAUGUUGGCAUAAUGCACAGGUAAUGCCAUUACAACUAUGAGUACAUUCUGAACCCAGAUCUUGACACACUGAAGUUGUGAAGAAAUAAUUUCAUGUGCCUGCAGGUAGACAUACUGUUGUAUGAAAUCUGCUGGGAAUACUCCAGGACACUCGCGAUUCUUAAAUUGGAAACCUACUUCCAUAACCUCCAGUAUCUGCUUUCACAAGGACAAAGCAUUAGCCGGAAAUGGCUCCUCUGAAAUGAACAGCAGUAGUACUAUCGUUGCAUUUUGGAAAAGAAAUAUUAUCAAUCUUUAUUUCAUCAACAGCGUAUCAGAGGGGUGCAUUCAGCAUAUAUCUCCACAUAUUAGUGUAGAUGCUGCAAAUAUUGCUUCAUUCCCAGUUGCAGAGGACCAACAAAAGGUCAUUCAGAACUAUUUGAGUUUUUAGCUCUCAGAUCAUGGUGAUCAACUUAAAACUUCCCACUUCUUCGGUAGGAACAACAUUGAUGAAAGUUUUAUACAGUACAGCUCCUUUGGGUAACUGGCAGAUCACUUCUCGGCUGUCCUUGCCACGGGCAGGCGGCACGUAGACUUCUUUAGUGAACCUCACAAUUCCAUCUUCAAGGGCAUACAACCAUUUGUUGUAGCCCAUCCCCACCUGAGACAGAGAGACAGAAUAAGAAUUAAGAAGGAAAAAAACUGCCUCUGGAGCAGAGCACAGGCCGUUCCUAUCAUUGAGACCGCCAGCAGAUCUCACGCUCUUUGGUAGUUUGCAAAUUGUGUGCCAAACUGAAAGCACAAUUGCUUGUGCAGGAAGAGAAAGGCAUCUCGAUCACCAGAAUGAUACAGCAUAAUGCAGAGAUGGCAAAGUGAGAUUGCAGGAUUCCAGUUACUCGCCUGCGGAAACAAAAGGCACUUCGGCCAAAUUAAACUCAGAAUCCCUCAUCUGGUGUAGGCGUGUACUUGUAUCCCGGGAUCCAUGGCUCAUGGGAUGUAGCAGGUAAUUAGUUUCUCUGCAAGCCAAUUACAUUUGCUCCUUGUGUCCCUAGCCUUUGUUGACACCUGCUCCGGAUGGUGGGUUUUGGGGUUCUAGUAACAAAACAGUUGAUCCCAUUAGCCUGAAUCUGGCUCCAUGCUGGCUGAAUAAGCUAAUUGUCAGCUCACGACCCCAAAAAUGUUGGGCGACAGCUGAUUUCGUGGCUCAAGGUAAUUUCAGUCUUGAAGAGGGUAUCUUCAGCAAGCCCAAUUUUGAACACUGUAUGUGAUACCAUUCUGCCCAGGUACUUCCUGGGAUGGAUUUGGCCUCUGGGUAAAUGGGCAUUUCUCCUUAAAAGGCACUGAUUAAAGGAUCAAUGUAAAAUGCCAGUUUAUUCUCCUUUUCUACAACUUGAUUUUUUUCUCUGGUGAGCUGAAGUCAUCCAAUGCACCAUGAUGCACUUUUCUCAUUGCUCCAUCUCAGUGUAUUGUACAGGGUUUUUCUCCCAGAUAUGAGCAUAAGUUUCCAGUGUAUCUGUGUAUUCUGAUAUUUCAUAUUGCAACUAUAUUGUGUCUGAAUUUUUACUAAAUAUAAAGAGGUUAUUCAAAGUCCAAGAAAUUCUAAUAGGGAUGGGGAGAGGGUCCUAUUUCUGGUUAUUAAUACAAGUUAGCAGUUUCAUAGCAAGAGAAAUCAAAAUAGGAAUGUUACUCUUGUCUCAGCUGAGAGAAAGGAUCUUGAAAAACAAUAAAAACAAGGCCAAGAGGUUUUACUAACUCUGUAACGAAAAAUGGUUAAUUCCAGGACAACGUAGAGUAAGGCAAGGAAACAGAAGCUUUGAUAAAGAUGGGGCAAAGUCUUAAUUAAGUGGUAUCUGAAAUAACAAAAAGAAAAUCUUACGUGAGCCCCUGGAUGCCAUCGAAUCACCCGCUGGGUGGCCAGUAUGUUGCCUGCAUGAACAAAUUGUCCUGCAAAUGAGUUAAAGAAAGUAAUUAAACCUUAGAAACAAGCCAGCCUGCGUGCAUACUAGCGGAAUACAAAUGGAGCACAACAGAGCAACUUUCUUUAACAUUCCUCCUCGUGAAAUAGGAUCCAUUACAGAGGAUAAGAGAUGGAGAGUGAAAGGCCUGAGACUCAAGCCAUGGGAGGGAAUCAUACCUCUGAUCUUACUGGGUCUGAUUUGCUGAAGCUUCCUAGUAGUAAGAAGGUCAUUCUACACAUAUCCAAAGUACAGGGAGGUUCAAACUAUUUUGUGCCAAAAGUUGUGUUCUUUGGAUGGCAUUCAACAGACCACAGCCCAAAAAGUGAGUAGGAUGAGGUAAAAAUGGCUUAAUAAAUUGUCAUUACCACUAACAUUUGCCAGGUAUUUAAUAACUUUUCUUUUAGAUACAUUAACAUUUUCAUUCUCAUUCAAAAUUGGGCAUCAACUUUGGGUGGGGCCCUGGGAGAUUUGGUGGUGGUGAGAUGAUGCGACUCUGGAGGAUCUGGCCCUCUGCAUCAACACAAGAGUUCAGCAAAAGACUGGAAACCUUAUAUAGACUUUUUCUUGAAAGAAAAAAAGACUGAAUUGAUGAUUUAUGGAUUUGGGGACUCAGAAGGGUUAAAGAGGGAGGGGAAAGAGUAAGAUGGCAGCUACUCAAUAGAAAGAAGAAUGGAAGUCAUAAUUCUAUAUUGUCUUUUCAUAAUUCUAUAUUUUUUCC